AUGCUUUGGUUGCCCAGAGGGACAGCAGAGAAGGGGAACCCUCGGUGUUUUCCCAUCCCAAGUCCGCUACAGCCCAGGAAAAUCCCCAGUUUUUGCUGCUUUAAGAACACCGAGUCUGGAGAAGCCAAAACCGAAUAGUUCCAGCAGAACCCGAUGAAGAAAACCGUCUUCCCUGAAGGUUUGCCCUUUCUGUUGGUGGGUGAAAUGCUCUGACUGGUCCUGCCUCUCCGUGACUCUCGGCGAGAUGCCGCUGGCUUCACCUCUCCACCCCAGCACUAACGAACCCACGGGUUAAUAUUUAUUAGGGGCCAGGGAGUGUGCCAACACGUGCGGCCCCAGUGAUUUUGGGGGCACCGCAGAUCCUUCUGCCCCCUCAUUUCUUCCCGUUACCGCCCAGUGAUCACAGGGGACCUGGCCCCGGUUGGGACGGACCCGAGCCAGCCCCAGCAGCUUGCUCUGAGCCUUCGGGAGAUUUUUUCUUUGCCAGACUCUGCUAAAAUUGAGCAAUCCCUCGGCGCUCGCCGCCUGCCCCGGUCCCGGCGCUGGAGCGGCUCUCAGGCGCCUUUCUGCACAGCGCUGCCCCCGCCGCGCUUUAGCUGCUCAUUCAAGCGGCGUUUCCUCUUUCCUCAUCUCUUUUUAAGGGUAUUUCACCCAAUUUUGGCUCACAUGUGCUCUUCAUGCAGCUGUAAGCGGCUUCACCACCCCUUCACGUGCUGGGUGGGCAGCGGGACUCGGACGCUGCAGGCGUCAUCGCCAAAGCAACCCCGAGAUAAGAGGACUAGGGCACUGUUUUUGCCUUUCUUCUCCAUUUUUACCGUUCCCAUUUAGGCUCGCGGGCUGAGAAGGGAAAGCUUCUGCUUUAGCAGAGCCAUCGGUGCUCAGAAAGCAAGGUGCCAGCACCGGGUGCUGGAGAUUUUUGAUGGCGCAGCCCAAAAAUGGGGGCUCAGCCUCACGCCUUGGGUUUUGGCGGCCUCACGAGCGGGGGUUUGGGUGCAGCAGCGCUGCUGGGGACGGGGCAGAGCUCAGCGCUGCGGCCAGCGACGGAGAGACAUGGGAUAAGGGUCAGUGCCCGGCCUGCAUGCUCCCAUCUUGGGUGCUCAGAUCUCAAAUGCUGGGAAGCUCAGAGACUUGGAUCUUGGGUGCUCAGGUGCUCCGAUCUCAGAUCUCGGGUGCUGGGAAGUUCGGAUGCUUGGAUUUCGGAUGCUCAGAUCUCGGCUGUUUGGAUUCUUGGAAGCUCAGAUCUUGGAUAUUCGGAUUCUUGGAAGCUCAGAUCUCAGAUGCUCGGACGCUGGGAAGCUCAGAUCUUGGAUCUCAGACGCUCGGAUCUCAGCUCUCGGAUGCUCAGAUGCAGGGCAGAAGUUGGCCACCUCUGGGAAGGGGAAUCAAAAACCUCAUUUGCUUGCAAACGCAAAAUCACCCGUGGUUUUCCUCCGCACAGGCAGCCCGGCUGGCUCACCCUGUCCCAGGCAGCCGGGAUGGGCAGGAUGCGGCCCCCACAGCCCCCACCCGCCCGGCAGCAGGGUGGCACCGAGGGCAGCUGGGUGCUGGGGUGCUGCCGGCAGCGCCCGUGGGCAGGAGGACGCCGGAGAACAACCCACGGGGGAGGAACUGGCACCUCCCCGGGCGGUUUUUGCUGCCAUGGGGCAUUUUCGGGGCCGGAGCUGCACGGGGGCAGCGGCCCGGCUCAAAGGUCCCGCGGAGCCCCCGGGGGCUCCUCCAAGUUCAUCAGCCGAGCAAAUCAUUAACGCUCGCCGCAGCUGCUGCGCCCGGGGACCUUCGGACCGCGGCGGGGCCGCAGCGCGCGCGGGAGGGCGCGAGCACCUCUGUGCGCUCGCACGCGCACGUGCAAGCCCCACGUUUGGGCACACGCGUGGCGGCGUCCCCCGCCCCCCGCACGGUCCCAAAUCCUGCCCCAAACGUGGGGGGGCUGCCAAAAGGUCUCUGCUGCACCCCCAGGAGCCCCCCCCCCAAGGAGCAGGGAGGUGGCAGCCGGCACCCAGCACCUGCGGCGCUGGGCGUGCGAGGGGCACGCGGGGGUGGCAGAAAGCCACGGCCGCCUGUCCCCUGCCCCGUCCGUGUCCCCACGCCGUGCCCUACCUGCUGGCUGUGCUGCUCCCCCCUCGCUGGGGCCUGGCUCCGAGAGCUUCACCUGCGGCAGAAACAAACGGGCACUGGUGCACCACCCCAGACACUCGUGCGUCCCCCUGCGCACUCCUGCGUC
rnacentral:lncRNA from 1 species